GAACUCCGCACACCGAUAGUCCUA
rnacentral:siRNA from 1 species